rfam:Clostridium sp. C105KSO13 isolate C105KSO131 genome assembly, contig: {contig170}
GGGCUUGUACUGGUUUCGACAGGGAUCUUGAAGAUGGAGAAGCUAUCCGCAGGCUGAUGCGUCAAAUCGCAAACUUAAAAUUAAACGCUAACGAUAAUUUCGAAUUAGCUGCAGCCUAAAUGCUGCAUGUCAGCCCUGAGGCACCCGCACCUUGGGAAUCUGGCACCGACGAUGUGGGAAACGAUAUCGGCAAAGCUUUGAACCGAUAGGCGUAUCAUGAAGCUACUGAAACCGUAAGGGUGUUGGUUCCCGUACGGCAGAGGGAAUGAAAAAGAACCGACUAUGAUAGUAGAAGUACAUGGGAUAGGUUUUUGGACGCGGGUUCGAUUCCCGCCAGGUCCACUA